ACGACGUAUAGGGUCUGACGCCUGCCCGGUGCCUGAAGGUUAAAAGGAGGGGUGAGAGCUCCGAAUUGAAGCCCAGGUAAACGGCGGCCGUAACAAUAACGGUCCUAAGGUAGCGAAAUUCCUUGUCGGGUAAGUUCCGACCUGCACGAAUGGUGUAACCAUGGCCACGCUGUCUCCACCCGAGACUCAGUGAAAUUGAAAUCGCAGUGAAGAUGCUGUGUACCCGCACCUAGACGGAAAGACCCCGUGAACCUUUACUACAGCUUGGCACUGAACAUUGAACCUACAUGUGUAGGAUAGGUGGGAGGCUUUGAAGCACAGUCGCUAGAUUGUGUGGAGCCGUCCUUGAAAUACCACCCUUGUAUGUUUGAUGUUCUAACAUUGGUCCCUUAUCGGGAUUGUGGACAGUGUCUGGUGGGUAGUUUGACUGGGGCGGUCUCCUCCCAAAUAGUAACGGAGGAGCACGAAGGUUAGCUAAUCACGGUCGGACAUCGUGAGGUUAGUGCAAUGGCAUAAGCUAGCUUAACUGCGAGACAGACACGUCGAGCAGGUACGAAAGUAGGUCAUAGUGAUCCGGUGGUUCUGUAUGGAAGGGCCAUCGCUCAACGGAUAAAAGGUACUCCGGGGAUAACAGGCUGAUGAUGCCCAAGAGUCCAUAUCGACGGCAUCGUUUGGCACCUCGAUGUCGGCUCAUCGCAUCCUGGGGCGGUAGUACGUCCCAAGGGUUGGGCUGUUCGCCCAUUAAAGUGGCACGCGAGCUGGGUUCAGAACGUCGUGAGACAGUUCGGUCCCUAUCUGGUGUGGGCGUUGGAUGAUUGAUGGGAGCUGCUCCUAGUACGAGAGGACCGGAGUGGACGAACCGCUGGUGUUCGGGUUGUCAUGCCAAUGGCAUUGCCCGGUAGCUAUGUUCGGAACGGAUAACCGCUGAAAGCAUCUAAGCGGGAAGCCGGCCCAAAGAUGAGUCAUCCCUGAACUUUAAGUUCUGGAAGGGUUGUUAUAGACGAUGACGUUGAUAGGCAGGGUGUGGAAGCGUUGUAAGGCGUUAAGCUAACCUGUACUAAUUGCCCGAGAGGCUUAACC
rnacentral:rRNA from 1 species